UUGUUCCGCAGUCCUGCUAAUAUGAGAAAAAAGUCGUAGUAUUUUGAGAAAAAAGUCGUACUAUUUCAAGAAAAAAAGUCGUAAUAUUUCGAGAAAAAAGUCGUAGUAUUUCGAGAAAAAAUGUCGUAGAAUUGGCUCUGUGCACGUAACGCUCCCGCAUUCGCCUUUACCGGCAGUUUCAUUUCCGGUUAGCUAAACAACGCUAACAGGGACAGACUUUGGCACUGGUUUGUCAACAAUGGCGUUUUACAAGCGAUGUUUGCAAGACCUCCCUCGAAUGACGGUCAACGAUUUUCAACGCAUCGUCAAGAUGUGGGCCCUGGCUUCUACAAGCAAGCAAGAAAAAGGGUUCAAAAUGUACAUAUCAAGUUAUAUUGACAACUAUGAAGGUAAGUGUUCUGUGUCAGCGCUAGCGAAAAGCUAGUUAGCUAACGUCAGGAGCAUAUUAAGACGAAACGAUAAUCUAAUUAGCAUUAUAAGCUUUUAACUCGGUGCUGAGUUGUCCUAUUUGUCUGUUAAACAAAUCGAUAUGUACUCCCACAAAAUAAAACAAAUUAUUAUUAGUUUGAUUUUAAAUAAAUCGAAUACUAUUAUCAUCUGUGAAAGUAAGAGUCGUAGUUGGUCGUGUCUGAACGCUAAUCUUCACGACUGUUUGUACUCAGCACUGAGUUACCCUACUUGACUUUCAAACAGAUCACAUAGUAUGAUUAACUCUGUUCUUUCCUUUGUAUUUUAGUUUCGAACAAACAUCAGGUGACAGGGGAGAUAUGUGUGAGUGCGACCUGUUUUAGGUCAAUGAAGAAGUCGGAGAAGCCACACAGCUUGAGUAUUGUUCUAAAUUCAUUGCUCUUCAUUGCUCUUGCUCAUGUGUUGCUGGGACCACUUUGUGCAACCAUGUGGUAGCAUUGCUUUAUCAAACUGCACAUUAUUCACAACUGCGACUUCCUGCCAUUCCUCCUGUCUUGAUCUGCACAGAGAGUGAGCAGCAAUGGCACAAGCCAAGAACUUUGGGUGUGAAGCCAGGGCCUGUGGAUAAAAGGGCAGCAAGACCCAAGCAAAGAGCAGUGAGGCUGUAUGGAGCACUCUAUACAAAGCGUUGCCCGGAGAUUUGCCAGACCUCUCUGUCCUGUGUGUGUCUGAGGUUUACAAGGAGUUUCCUCAUCAUACCGCACCAUUGAUAACCACAGUGGGAAUCUCCAAAGACAUUCCACUGGUUGAGAGUGCAUUUGGAAGCAUGCAAGCUGGUAGUCCUUUGUCUUACCAGCAACCAGUAGCUAAAGAUUACAUUGCUCCUCGUCUUGAUGCACCUCUGCCUUCAGUUGUUCCUUCUGAUGCAUAUGGACUGGCACCUUCAGACUGCAUGUGUGUUUGCAGUGAGAAAGAACAGCUCCAUCUGAAGUCUCUCACCAUCACCUGGGAAAUGGCACACAAAAUUGAGUGUGCAACCAGCAAACAGAGUGUGUGUGGAGAAUGGCAUCAGCUAAGAAAGCCACGUUUGACUUCCUCAGUUCAGGUGAGCACCUGGCUGACAGAAUCCAGCCUGGUGUGACUUUGUGGUUUUUGCUGAAGAGGACAUGUUGGUGCAGCGCAUUUUCUAAAACACAGAGGUUUCAGAAGAAACCAAGUUCUGAGGCAACAUCCAUCACAGUGGCUGACAGCAUAAGUUGAAAGCUAAGAAAUACCCAGAUGUCCUGGUGUUGACUUCACAAACAAUAACACAGGGCCAAAAAAAACCCAGAAAAAACAAAACACCAUCUCCAGCAGUGGAAGAUUGCGGCUGUGCAGCUGGGAAAUUUGGAACAAAAUGUUG